rnacentral:tRNA from 1 species
GGUGUCUGACAGAAGGGCUGCAAGUGUGUGUGACCCUGGCUCCAGGAGAUGAAGAAAAUCUGACCUGGAGGGCCUGCGGCCCGUGAAAAAUCUGUCAUGGAAAUCAGAUCACGGCAAGUCAAGAUCUGAAGGCAUUUCCUUUGCAUCAGAAAGAGGGGAGAUAUCCGUCACCUACACGAGAAGGAAGAGCCUUGACGACGCUGAUGUGCAGGGAUUUACAAAACAUCCCUCAGGUAAAGUGAGAGCUUUCUGAGGGAGGGCUGAGCUGAGGCUCUGUCAUCUCGCCUCAGUCUUAGGGAAACUCAAUGAGUGCUGGUGGGAAGCAGGAGGAAGCGAAGGAGGGAGGAAAGAAGGAAAUCAUUAGGGUCCAAGCCUUGAGGAAGCAGGUGUCAGGCUCAGCAGGAAUCCUUUAGUCCUGCCAAAGACCAUCUAGAAGAGACUUUAGAAAAAAGAUCAUUUCCCAAAGUAACCAGUUUCUCAAUAUGUAGAGGAUGUCAAGCCAGGCACAAGUUGUGUCCUGGCCGUGCAGUCAUACGUGUCUGGGCAGAUGGAUGAAUGAGUGGGAUGGGUGGCUCCAGUGAGUCUACUGAUGGGAGCCAUGUGGUCCAGGGUGGAGGCUCUUCUCUGGGCAGGUUUGAGGAGGUUGAGGUAGUGGGGAUUGGAGAGUGACGGGAAUGUCUGAUCCUGGCUGCUGGGCUGGUCCUCUGGAAUCUGAAAUCAUACCUGAGCCCUGGAAAGGGAGGGCGGGGGCGGGUGAGCAAACACAACCAGGGCUAACCGAGCUGUUUGUUUUUUUUAAAUUGAAGUAUAGUUGAUUUACAAUGUUGUGUUAGUUUCAGGUAUACAGCCAAGUGAUCAAGUUAUACACGUAUAUUCUUUUUCAGAUUGUUUUCCAUUAUAGGUUAUUACAAGAUAUUUAAUAUAGUUCCCUGUGCUCUACAAUAGGUCUUUGUUGUUUAUCUACUUUAUUUAUAGUAAUGUAUAUCUCUUCAUCAGAAAUUCCAGAUUUAUUCCUCUCCCCUCCCCCUUUGGUAACCCUACGUUUGUUUUCUAUGUCUGUUAGUUUAUUUCUCUUCUAUAAAUUAGUUUAUUUGCAUCAUUUUUAAAGAUUCCACAUGUAAAGUGCUAUCAAUUUGUUUUUGUCCUUCUGACUGACUUCACUUAGUAUGAGUAUCUCUCUAGGUCCAUCCAUGUUGCUGCAAAUGGCAUUAUUUCAUUCUUUUUUAUAGCUGAAUACUAUUCCAUUAUAUAUACACAUAUAUGUAUGUAUACACACCCCCCCACACACACCUUUUUUUUAAUCUAUUCAUCUGUCAAUGGAUAUUUAUGUUGCUUCCAUGUCUUUGCUGUUGUAAACAGUGCUGCCAUGAAGAUUGGUUUUCUCCAGAUAUAUUCCUAAUAGUGGGAUUGCAGGAUCAUAUGGUAGCUUUAUUUUUAGUUUAGUUUUAUGUUUUCUUUUUUGGCUGCACCUGUGGUAUACAGAAGUUCCCAGGCCAGGGAUCAAACCUGUGCCACAGCAGUGACAAUGGUCAGAUCCUUAACCACUAGACCACCAGGGAACUCCUAUUUUUAGGGUUUUUUGGUUUUGUUUUUUAGGGCCACACUCGAGGCAUAUGGAGGUUCCCAGGCUAGGGGUCGAAUUGGAGCUGUAGCCACUGGCCUACGCCAGAGCCAUAGCAACGUGGGAUCCGAGCCGCAUCUGCGACCCACACCACAGCUCACGGCAACGCCAGAUCGUUAACCCAUUGAGCAAGGGCAGGGACCAAACCCGCAACCUCAUGGUUCCUAGUCAGAUUCGUUAACCACUGCGCCACAAUGGGAACUCCUGUUUUUAGUUUUUUAAUGUACCUCUAUAUUGUUCUCCACAGUGGCUGCAGCAGUUUACAUUCCCACUAACAGCAUAGGAGAGUUCCCUUUUCUCCACCACUUCUCCAGUAUUUAUUAUUUGCAGACAUUUCAAUGAUGGCCAUUCUGCCCAGUGUGAGGUGAUACCUCAUUGUAGCUUUCAUUUGCAUUUCUCUAAAAUGAGAGAUGUGGAACAUCUGUUCAUGUGUCUGUUGGCCGCCUGUAUGUCUUUUUUAGAGAAACGCAAAUUUAGGUCCUCUGCACAUUUUUUGAUUGGGUUGUUUUUGUUUGUUUUACGUGCAGCUGUUAUGAGAUGUUUGUGCAUAAGGACCUGUUUUCGUGUGUAUAUUGUUUAUACAUAAGGAGCUGUUUUCAUGAAGGACUGUUGGUGCUCAGAGGGCAAAGUGCGACACAGUCUGAGAAAAGGAUUUUCUUCUUGUUUCCCUCUGUCAGCACUUUUGGUGUCAGGAACCAAGUCUGUUUAAACAGGAAAAAAAAAAAAAAAA